GACUCUUGGCAAUGGAUAUCUUGGCUGUCGCAUCAAUGAAGAACAUAGCAAAAUGCGAUACUUGGUGUGAAUUGCAGAAUCCCAUGAACCAUUGAGUUUUUUAACGCAAGUUGCGCUCAAGGCUUUCUGGCCGAGGGCACGCUUGCCUAGGCAUCA